GAGAUUGAUCAUCAUCAUCUGUUGAGGAUGGCUUCACAUUUUUUUCUCCACGUCAUUCGAGUCAUGGUAUUCAUUUCGCCGUGUUGUGAUUGUGGUGACGUUUUGUCAUGCCAGUAGUCCUCUCCCUUUAACUUCGACUUUCACCUUCACUUUCAGAUGCCUGUAAUAUUAGCGGAGCAGCCCGCUGACACUCGACCUUGUUCCAAGUUUUAUCAAGCGUGCGGGGGAGAGAAAAGGUCAGUGAAAACGCGAUGAAGAAUAAAGCUCUCUCACACAAAUGUGGUAAGUUGACCAGCUGUACUUUCCGAGGCUCGAUAACCGCGUAUGUGGCCUUGAAAACAAGAUAAGCAUUCUCUCUGUGAAAGCCUGGCAAAAAUCAUUGGGAGUUUCUCGGACAUAUUGGCGUUUUGAAGGAAAUCGGAGCACAGCAAAGUUGGAAUAUGUUCUUUGCCGAUUUAUUUCGUGUCACUAUCACGGUGACGCAAGUUUUAGAUCAUGUCAACUGAACCACCGAGUCUUGUAAUUGUCAUCCUUUGGGUAUUUUGUCUUGAGAAUGUCGGAGACCUCUUAAGAAGCCUGCGAAGCGUGCUGAAAUGUGACGAACGGCAUACAUAUUUUAGAUGAAUUGGAAUUCAUUUUUGAGAACUUUUUUUGUUCUUUUUUUGUGGCCGUCACAGCGUCCCCGCUGACAUGCACUACUUGCACCCUAAUAACAGAUUUGUGAACAGCAAAGAGCUACUUUUCAAAAACAGUCAGCGGAGCCAAAUUUGCGAUUUUGGUCUGCAUCUUAACCUUCCUGACCCCAUUUUUCAAAAAAAAGGCAACAAGCACGUUAAAUUUCACACAUUCAUUUUCACAUUCGCGCUGAACCACUGCUGGGUUGUAGGUUCUUUUUAACCCAGCGAAUGUGGAAAUGAAACCCGUAUUGGGUUAUUUUCAAAAAAUCUCACCAACUGGAGAGCACAUUUCUUCUUACUGCAGGCCCCGUAUUCUCCGACCAUAACCACCAGCAGCAUCACUGUGCCAAGCACGAUCAGUAAAAUCACACCUUGAAUCAAAAAAA